GAUGAAUUAGGGUUUAUUUCUUGAGAGAAUUUUGUGAAUGGGUGAAUGUAUUUUGCCUAUUGAGGGGCUCAAUUUCAUGUUAUGGGGGUUUAAUAUGGGAGGAAAAUGACUUAAUUUCCCCCACAACCCAUAACUAAAUGUGAAAACUAUGCCCAGAGAUGCGAUAACCGGCGUGUCGCGUCGAUGGUGUCGACGCGUCGGUUGAUGGUGUCAAUGCGAUAGCCAACGCGAUAGCCAACACGACGCAUCAUGAUCGCGUUGGCUUGCUAUUUUGGUCAUUCAAACAUGACUCAAGCGAUAUUCGAAAAAUCUGAAAGUCACCCAAGAUGACUUAUUGACAUCCCUGAUCAUGAAUCAACUAAAAAAUCAACAUUCUAAGGUCGUAAGGAUCGAAAAUAAGACCAUCCAAUUAUGAAGGCUAAAAAUGAUUCUAAGUCUUAACACUUAGCUGAAUUUUUCUAAGUCUGGGACUGAAUUGAACUAGAACUUUUACCGGGUCUUACAGCAGAUGAUUGUGAAAAUGUUAAAAAUGAUAAUGAAAUGGUAAAAAUCUCAAUAGAAGGAGAAUUAUUAAUAAAUUAUGAAAAGUAGAAAUAUGACAACAAAUUGAUAAAAUCCUAAAGUAAGUAUGAUUAUCAAUAAGUUGUCAAGAAUUAUAAAAAAGAAGUGAAAAUUAUAUUUUGUGCCUUUUAACCAUCAGGAAGCAUGAAGAAGGUAAUUUAAGCACGGAGAACCAAAAUUGGAUUUCAACACUAUCUGUUUCAAUUGAAGCAACUCUGUCCAUAAACCUCUUCUAGUCUCAAUAGUAUGUAGACCAUAAAUAGCCAUAAAAUGGAUUUGACUACCAGUAUUAGCAUCGUAAUAGCUAAAAUUAUACCUCACUUGGGUCCCUAAUGAUCCACAACCUUCCAAUGAUCCAGUUCUAUAAUUAUCACACCAUAUCCACGAUGGCCAUAUCUUUUUUACUAUACUACUAGAAAAUUGCUCCUACACCCUGUGCUCCGCAACUUCUAUACUUCUCUAUGCUUAUAGGCCUUGUUGAGGCCUCGAACAUUUCAUGUGACUAACUUCAUUAGAAAACUUAGUGUUAGUAACAUCUAACAUCCCAUGAUCCUCCAGCAAGUCCCCUACCUUAGGACCAAAAUGAAUUGGAACUUUGACUGUCCUUUGUAGCACUAGUAGGAACUCCAGGUUAAGUAGCUUUUGCUGCAGUCUUCCCUGAAGAAAGUUUUCACCCAUCGUCAUCUAUGUUCUCCUUAUGCCGAAUUAAAGGUAUCACUGGUAAGUAGGUGCAGUACUCGUAGUACCCACCUCAACAAUACUCUGCAUUUCCACUCAGCCUUGAUCAACUCUAUCUUUGCUUGUUAGUGCUUUGCCUGGUAAGUUAUCAUUGUAUUAUUUCCCGGUUAUGGAGGCUCUUUAGACUUGCACACAUGUCCCAAGUUACAAGCAAACUCCACAAUACAGGUUUCAGUCAUAUCUCACUAUUUGUGCAAACAGUCGUCCCUUUGGAUCCUUAAUUUUAACUUCUUUUGGCAAUGGCCUAGUGAUGUCCAUUUCUACUAAAAUCCUGGCGUAUGAGAUAUGAUCCACCCUUGUUGUGCAGUCAGCAACAUAACUUGGCACUUCCAGACUACUACCAAUCCCACUUAAAGUUGUAGGCUCCCAACAAUUGAGCAGCAAGUUUGGUAUUUUAUCCUAAAGUGGAAUGGACUUCAACACUUCAUCAUGAAAAAUUAAAGUUCACAGUCCAUGGUUUGAUUAUCACUAACUUAUUGUAGAUGGAGUAUGGUCCAGAGUACAAUGCUUCGUUACUUUCCCCCCAUAGUGCUGAAUUUUAUUACAAAAAACUAUCAUUGUGAUAGUAACUUCGUGGUUUAGUCGCAAGGUUCUGUUGCCUAGCUAUGAACCUCUCAAUUGCUUCGAUUGUCAGAUCCUCCCCAACAACAUAUAGAAUAGUAACUUCUAUUUCACGUACCCUUUUCAAUUUCCGCUUGUUGCAAUUCUACCACGUGUUCCCUAUUUUCAAUCACUGGUGCGAUGAAGCUUCUCUUUAUUAAGUGUUGGGUCUCCACGAGAGUGAAGAUUGACUACAGGAGUACAGGCCUUAGUAAGAUCCAAAUUAACCCAUUCCCGUGGUUGGGGUGUUGACUCUUGAUCCAUUGUCGCUCUGUCCCACCAUAUCAAGACUUGAUAUUUGCUUGCCUCUCAUCUGCAACAUUGAUUGUAUUCCCAGUUUUCCCCUAGGAGUGUUUGCAAUGGAGGUAAUCCCACCUUUACUUGACAAUUUUAUUUUAUUUAGACUGCUA